AUGAACGCUGGCGGCGUGCUUAACACAUGCAAGUCGAGCGAGAAGUUUUGAAAAGAUUCUUCGGCUGAAAUUUAAAAUGGAAAGCGGCGGACGGGUGAGUAACGCGUAGGCAACCUGCCCCAUACAAAGGGAUAGCAUUUGGAAACGAAUAUUAAUACCUUAUGAAACUUAACUAGUGCAUGCUAGGUAGGUCAAAGAUUUAUCGGUAUGGGAUGGGCCUGCGUCUGAUUAGCUAGUUGGUGAGGUAACGGCUCACCAAGGCGACGAUCAGUAGCCGACCUGAGAGGGUGAACGGCCACAUUGGAACUGAGACACGGUCCAAACUCCUACGGGAGGCAGCAGUGGGGAAUAUUGCACAAUGGGGGAAACCCUGAUGCAGCAACGCCGCGUGAACGAUGAAGGCCUUUGGGUCGUAAAGUUCUGUUCUAGGUGAUGAAAACUGACAGUAACCUAGGAGAAAGCCCCGGCUAACUCCGUG
rnacentral:rRNA from 1 species